AAAGCCCCGACGAGUAGGGUGGCGUGCCGGUGCGCGUUGAAGGCCAAGACGUGAGUCAGGCUGGAGCCGCCGGUAGUGCAGAUCUUGGUGGUAGUAGCAAGUACUCUGGUGAACCAACCUGGAGCUGUGAGGUCUGGAUCAGGGUUCCAUGUCAACAGUGAUUGAACAUGGGUGAGUCKAUCCUAAGCCAACUGUGAAAGCAGUGACAUCCCGACAAAGGGGCAUUACAUGCGCUGCACUUACACCCCCAAAGCAAAAAGCUAGCUCUCUCUCUCUCACAGGCUGUCUGGUACGGAAAAGGCGGGCGCCACGCACUAUGCACUGCAAAAUGUGUGACUGUGUGCGCGCUCGCCCUUGUCAUGGUUACGCUCAUAAGCGUUGUUGAUGCUCGCUCGGAAAAAGGAUGAAACGAGAGAGAGAGUGGGUGAGCGUGAGACUUGCUCUUGCAUGAGCCCCCUGCGUCUGGUUCUAUGUCUGGCGAAAGGGAAUGGGGACUUUGUUCCUUGACCGGUCCCGGCACCCUCGAUUGGCUUUGCCAAUUAAUGGUCCAUGCAAAUGGAACC
rnacentral:rRNA from 1 species